rnacentral:rRNA from 1 species
GAUGAACGCUAGCGGCAGGCUUAAUACAUGCAAGUCGAGGGGCAGCAUGAUUGUAGCAAUGCAAUUGAUGGCGACCGGCAAACGGGUGCGGAACACGUACACAACCUUCCAACAAGUGGGGGAUAGCCCAGAGAAAUUUGGAUUAAUACCCCGUAACAUAGCGAUGUGGCAUCACAUUGCUAUUAUAGAUUUUUCGCUUGUUGAUGGGUGUGCGGCUGAUUAGAUAGUUGGCGGGGUAACGGCCCACCAAGUCUACGAUCAGUAGCUGAUGUGAGAGCAUGAUCAGCCACACGGGCACUGAGACACGGGCCCGACUCCUACGGGAGGCAGCAGUAAGGAAUAUUGGACAAUGGACGCAAGUCUGAUCCAGCCAUGCCGCGUGAAGGAUUAAGGUCCUCUGGAUUGUAAACUUCUUUUAUAAGGGACGAAAAAAGGCUUUUCUAAGUCGUCUGACGGUACCUUAUGAAUAAGCACCGGCUAACUUCGUGCCAGCCGCCGCCGUAAAAC